AUUGGAGCAUGGCUUUGAUCUGACAUGUGUUCCAGAAUGAUUUCUCCUGCUUUACUGAGAAUAGACUCCAGUGGAGGAACUUCAGUGGUGUUUCUAAAUCAGCCGGCUAGCGCCGAAGUCCAGCUAAAGAUCACUUUUCAGUAAAAUGCAUAGAGCUCAUGAUAUCCGCUUGGUGACACAAAGGAAUGCAACUUCAUUAG
rnacentral:lncRNA from 1 species